rnacentral:miRNA from 11 species
AGCCUGAUCCUUGCUCGACCU